GACAGAGGUGCCGAGCGUUAGGCGGAAUCACUGGGCUUAAAGCGCGUGUAGGCGGCCAUCUAAGUCGGGCGUGAAAAUCCCACGGCUCAACCGUGGAAGUGCACUCGAAACUGGAUGGCUAGAGUCCUGGAGAGGAAGGUGGAAUGCUUGGUGUAGAGGUGAAAUUCGUAGAUAUCAAGCGGAACACCGGUGGCGAAGGCGGCCUUCUGGACAGUGACUGACGCUGAGACGCGAAAGCGUGGGGGGGCAAACAGGG
rnacentral:rRNA from 1 species